rnacentral:rRNA from 1 species
GGGCCCGCACAAGCGGUGGAGCAUGUGGUUUAAUUCGAUGAUACGCGAGGAACCUUACCAAGGCUUAAAUGUAGAGGGACAGGCGGCGAAAGUUGCCCUUCUUCGGACUCUCUACAAGGUGCUGCAUGGUUGUCGUCAGCUCGUGCCGUGAGGUGUCGGGUUAAGUCCCAUAACGAGCGCAACCCCUAUCUUUAGUUGCCAGCGGUUCGGCCGGGGACUCUAAAGAAACUGCCCGCGCAAGCGGUGAGGAAGGUGGGGAUGACGUCAAAUCAUCACGGCCCUUACGUCUUGGGCUACACACGUGCUACAAUGGUAGUGACAAUGGGUUAAUCCCAAAAGCUAUCUCAGUUCGGAUUGUCGUCUGCAACUCGACGGCAUG